AGUAGAAUGGCUGAGAUAAUAGGUAAUAAAUUGUAAAUUUAUUAAGGAGUUUAUAAACUCUUCUACUA
rnacentral:tRNA from 1 species